rnacentral:rRNA from 1 species
AUUGAACGCUGGCGGCAUGCCUUACACAUGCAAGUCGAACGGUAACAGGUCUUCGGAUGCCGACGAAUGGCGAACGGGUGAGUAAUACAUCGGAACGUGCCCGAGAGUGGGGGAUAACGAGGCGAAAGCUUUGCUAAUACCGCAUACGAUCUCAGGAUGAAAGCAGGGGACCGCAAGGCCUUGCGCUCACGGAGCGGCCGAUGGCAGAUUAGGUAGUUGGUGGGAUAAAAGCUUACCAAGCCGACGACCUGUAGCUGGUCUGAGAGGACGACCAGCCACACUGGGACGGAGACACGGCCCAGACUCCUACGGGAGGCAGCAGUGGGGAAUUUUGGACAAUGGGCGCAAGCCUGAUCCAGCCAUGCCGCGUGCAGGAUGAAGGCCUUCGGGUUGUAAACUGCUUUUGUACGGAACGAAAAGACUCCUUCUAAUAAAGGGGGUCCAUGACGGUACCGUAAGAAUAAGCACCGGCUAACUACGUGCCAGCAGCCGCUGUAACAC